UUGUGGAGGAGGACGCCGAAGGUGGGGCUGAUGACUGGGGUGAAGUCGUAACAAGGUAGCCGUACCGGAAGGUGCGGCUGGAUCACCUCCUAACAGGGAGACAACAAAUGAUUAUUUUGACUGUAUUUUUUUCAGUCUUUAAUCCUGUCACCUUAGGUCGAUCGGUACCUCAGAUUUGAUACCUAAUAAUCAAUGAUUAUAGGUUUUUGAUUUCAGUUCCUAAACUUGUCUAGGUCACACCCAACAAACUCUUCUGGGCUAUUAGCUCAGGCGGUUAGAGCGCACCCCUGAUAAGGGUGAGGUCCCUGGUUCAAGUCCAGGAUGGCCCAUUCGUUGUUGGGGGUAUAGCUCAGUUGGUAGAGCGCCUGCUUUGCAAGCAGGAUGUCAGCGGUUCGAGUCCGCUUACCUCCACUGAUCAACUGCCUAAUAACUCUUUAGAUGAAGAAGUUUUUAUGUGUGGUUUAGAUGUUGUUCGCUGAAUGAACCUAGCUUCAUAUCAUGACUUGAGUUUACUUAAAUUUUAAGCUUGAUAAGACGCUGGGCUCUCCGUAAAUCUUUAUAGAUUUAUGGAAUAGUUCAGUAGAACCUUGACAACUGCAUAGGUAAGUCUGGAAAAAAUUAAAGCAUCUCAUAGAUGCAUAUAUUUUAUUAUUUAAGUUAUCUCUUAAUUUAAUAAAUAUAUGUUCAAUUCUUUAAGUAUAUAGCCGAUGUCUUAAAGUCUUUUCAGAGUCUUUUACUUGCUGACUUUAAUCAGUUUGGGUAUUAAGUAUUCAUGAGGGGAUUUCUUGGUUAAUUAAUAUAUGGUCAAGCUACAA
rnacentral:misc_RNA from 1 species